AGUGUCAGUAUAUAACCCGCUGUAAUUAGUACUCCAUAAAGAUUUUAAAGGGUUAAACUGCUGCAACUGGCUGGCAGUUAGCAGCGCUGCUUGUCAUUCGGAAAGCCAACUGCAUUUCUGGAAGAGAAGCUGAACUGCGAUAGCAAACCAGAAGUAAUACUCAGCAGUGACACUGGAAAAAAAUAUAUAUAUUAAUCACACGUUUUUGAGGCCUAAGCACAGCCCACGCAGUAAGCAAAACCACAGCACCCUGUAACGACCCCCAACCUGCUCAAAAUAGUGAAAGUAUCUGUACGUACACCGUAAUUCGUGGGUACGCUCCCUGCAGACAGCAACUGCUGCAAGCAGCGGGGCUUUGCGUGCCUGCGAGAACAGGCCCUCGCCUCCUGUCGCCUGCUAUCGCCCGUGUGCGUGCGUCUGUCCUACAGCACACGCAAACGUCUCGCAGAGCUAACUGUGGCUAAAGAGAUAAAUUAUACAUUUCCAGGAUGUGCUAAACAACACAAAACUUGGUAAUACUAGUUUCUUGAUUCCAGACCGCUGACGUAAGGAACAGCCAAUACAGUCAGAACGGCUGGACUUCGCUGUCGCUGCAGGGACGCGCGAGCGGCCUCCGCGGGCGCGCAGAGACCAGAGCUGAUGUGCCUGGCGGCAGCAGGCAGCCCUGCGCGGGGACAGGUCGUUGCACGGCUUGCAUGACAGGACUAUCUGCAGAAUCUGUACAUGAAGUAGAUGGGGAGCUCAUGGCAAGCUUCUGUGGGGAAGGGGGAAGAGGACCAGCACUUUGGUUAAAAGUAAGUGGUGCAUUUUUUUAUCAUAUGUCUAUGAAAAAUGUCAUCUGGAUGCAAUCUCCAGAUACAUAUUACAUUUAAACAUACUCAGCAGAUUUCAGAUUUGUCAUUUAGGAUCUGUUACAAUUUAAAAUAUAUAAAGCAACAAGGCGUGCUACGGAUAAUCAACUGUCACUGUUAUUCUAGCUCUCUGACAGCUAGGACCACAAGAAUAGAGCAAACACCAAGCUAAAACAAAGUCUAACCUGUCCAAUUAUUUAAGGCUAUAAUGGCUGGAAGCUACCAAACUCAGGCUCUGGAAGAACCGUCAGGAGCUCUUCUUAUUGGAAAAGAUAUUCUACCAAGAAACUGUGCCAUAGGCACUAAAAUGUUUACUAGUCUUAGAACUGAUAGUGAUAAGAAAAAUGGGAAUUACCUUCUCAAGGAGCAGAGUUUUAAAUGGCUUAAUGACAUUUUCCAAAUACCAUUAUAAUGUUCCUAUCUUUUUCUGAAAUCUAAUCUUCACUAAUUUUUGUGAUUAAUUUUAACAGAGGGAACCUUAACUGAGAGCAUUUUGCAGAGCAAUAUUUUUCUAAUUUUUCUUUUGUGGAGCAUCUGCUGUUGCUGUGCUGUCAUCUUCGUUAUGUUUUUCAUUGUCUAUGUGCCAUAAUGUAAUUAGUUAGUUCAACAUCAUCUGUGCUAUUAGAUGAGAUGUUUCUAUGGUAAGUUAACGUAGUUCUGAGUAAUUGGUAGAUUUCAGCAGUAGGCAUGAAUGUAUCCAUCAACUUUAGGUGAAUUUUAGUCCACAAGAUUUAAAUUCACUUGGCAUACUUUAUCCUCGAAGACUGCUAAUUUUGGCUGAAUGGAUAAAAAACACAAUGCAGAAAAAAUCUGGCUGCUUAUAUCAUGGUACUGUUGGAAUCAGGGACAGGAAAGCAUAAAAUUGCUGGUUUAGUAGAAAGUUGCAAUCUGAAUGUCUGGAAAACGUUACAGCUUGUGAUCCAAAUCAUUCUUAAACGUUGACAUGCUGCUAAGACAGCUGAUAGUCCAGGAUUCACCGGAGUUCUCUCUCCAUUCAUGAAAGGAACCUUGGUUCUCUCCUUAAAUAUUGCAUUCCUAUGGGAUCUCAACUGUCUUUUCCUUUCUCAUUUGAAAUGUUGAGGCUGCCACUUUGUUGUGAGAGCUUCCAUGUUGCACUUUGCUAGUCUGUGUCUUCCAAACUCUACCUUUUGAACAAGCAUUUCAACUUUUAAAACAAACCUUCUAACCCCCAGUCUCUUUGGAAGCAGUGAUGGAAAAUCAACAGCUACUUGUUAUUUUAAAGUAAUACACCCUUUUACUAGCAUAAGAUCUUCUGUUUUAGGAUAUUAAACAAAUUUAAAAUGUGACUGAUUAAGUAUUUAAGUGGGAUAUCUAAUGAUAUGGGAGAAUGCGCAUCCUGAUGGAAGUUGUGAAGAAUUCUGGACGGCUUGACUCUCAGCGUUCUUCUUCAAACAGCAGACUGUACUUUUCACCCCAAACAGCAAGAUAACUCACUUUUAGAAAAAUAUGUAUAAAUUUUGAUUUGCUGGUAAACACAUGAGUAAUAUUAUUUACAAGAAUCCAGUUCCAUGGAAGGUAAUUAGUAAGGACAGUUCAUUUAGGUAAGAGUUGGUAAGGCCCUUUUAUCAUCACUGUAUCAAUAACUUAGUACAGGGGACAAGUAAUAUAAAUGUCAAUAAUUAUAGAUACGUAUUUAUAUUAACAAUGGAGUCCACUUAAGGAAGAGCUAAAGCUAUAUUUGUCAUGACCUCAUAGAGCUAAAAUUUCUAUUGAAAGGAUUGAUAUAUUACCAUUAGCCACGCAUAGCAGACAGUCUCAAAAGUGAGUUUGGUGACUAAAGUCAAAGACAGCAGAGUUUGAAAUUACAUGUAAUUUACGUUUUAAAUUAAAAGUCUCUAAAGGCCACUAGAAUAUGCAUAUUUAAUAAAAAAAUCAAUGUAUUAAAACAAUCUUGCAACUAGAAAUGCUAUAUGGAUUUUGAAAGAGAGAUUUAAAUUCUGCAGAAUCUAGUAAAACAAGGCACUUUUUAAGCACAUUAGCGAAAGCUAUUUUGAUAUUCUUAAAAAUAUACUGACAAUUGAUUAUUGUGAUCAUAUAUAUCUGUAGUGAUAUUUUGUCACAAACAUAAUAAACAUGUAGACUAUUUUUACAAUUCAGAUGUCACCACCUUUAAAAAGAAAAAAAUCCUUAAUUUUGAACAUACUUAAAAAUAUAAAUUUAUUUGGAACCUACCUUUCAAAGUAGAAAAAUAUGUUCUUUUCUUUACAGAUACUUUUAUAGAACUUAGAUUAAAUGUUGCCUUUUUCACCAGUCACCGUAAUAAAUGGUCAUAUUAGAGGACAGGACAGCACAAUUCUGUCCUGUGUAAAGACCCCAAAUAUACAUAAAAGUAGCCUAUGUACUACUUUAUAUUUACAGAACAAAAAAGAUCAAUCAGUUGGAGAUUAAAAAAAAAAAAACUAAUUCAAUUGACCAAAAUGCCCUUACCUAAUGCAGAAGUACACAUUUAUAAUGCCAUCAUUUAUGCUUCUGAACAUAAAUCAUACUUUAUAACAAUAUGUUUUUGUAAAAUCACUGCCACUUCUUUUCAGUCAGAAUUCACUUAAAAAAAAUUCAGCAGAGAAAGUAAACUUGUCUUUUUUUCCCUCUGAGAUAAGAAAUCACUGAAACAUAUUAAAUAUUUUCUACUCAGAGCUGACCAUUUUUUUCUUGUAGCCAUUUUUUAAAAUUUCAUUUGUCAUAGGAACAUUUUUGGAACAAAACAGCUGCACUUUGGUAUGAUUUCUGAAAACAGUCCUAUGCAGAAGUUUGUAAAAGCAAUGUUCUGGAAUAAUUUGUUACAAUGAAAAAUGAAAAAUGAACUCUAGCCUUUAUUAACUAUUUAAUUAAUAACUAAGUAAGUUUAAAUGUGCAGAAUGGUGUCCACACAUAAUGCAUUUAGAAUUGCAUUUAAAGUCUUUUCAAAGCCUGUGUCCAGCAGCAAAUCCUAUGUCAUGAGAAUAUCUGCAUGUUAUCAGUGCAGCCAGGAAAUGAGUAACUCUAUACUCUUACUAUAACUCAUUGCCAUGGAGGAGUACACAUGAUAUCCAUGUGAAGUUCCGAUAAAUUCUGAGUGAUGCUGUAAUUCACAGCGAGAGUCCAUUACUGAUUUCUUUACCACCUAUGUUGCACCUAUGUGCCUAUGGAGGCACAUGUGCUUCGUUGGCUUGAGCCAUUUUCUCCAUAAGUCUUCGAGUGAAGUCCACAUCCUGGCAUUGCAAAGGAUUUUGUUGUUACAUUACCUAUGGGAAGGAGUAGUUUUAGCUAAUAUAUCUAGAUGUUUGUGGUGAUCGCUUCUGAUACAAAUUUUGACAUUAUCCAUUGUUUCAAAAAGUUGAGAGAAAGUAAGAUGUGGAAUAAGAACAUACACAGUAAAGGGAUUUCCUACUGAAAUUGUCCCUUUCUUUUAAAGGCUAGCAGAACAGUAUGAGAAAAUGGAGGGUUACAAAAAUAAAGAGGAAGAACAGUCUGGCUACUUGUGUCUGGCAGAAAUGCCUCUAUCAUAUUUGAUUUAAAAUUUACAUAGAUGCCAGUGGUUAUGACACAACUGUCACUCUAAGUUCAGUUAACUGGACAUGAAACAAUAAUGACAAACAAUCAGAAUGACAGUUCCCCUUCUAUUCUGCAGUUAGGUUCAUCAUAUCUCAAUUUUGCAACAUUCCUUCUGUUCACUCUGAUAGACAAAUGUGCUUCUGUUAUAAUGAUUUCUCUGUUUGACUCGUCACAGCCUUGUUUUCACAGGAAGGGUUGUGCAAGUUUCUAAGCUUUCUGUUCAGUGUUUUAGUUCUACCAUUUACCAAAGCAAGGAUUUCUUAGUAACAAUUUUUAACAUUAACUCUCUAAUAGUUACUUCACUGAUGUAAUUCAUUUUUUAAACAUGUUUUCUUGCAUAAGAAUAUUACAUUAUUUCUAAUAUAAAAAUAUAGCCCUCUACUUUUCUUAAAUUGUUUUUCAGUGGAGUGACUACUAUACUCCAUGACAAUAACUCUUUUUAUCAUUCUACUAUAAUUCAGUAGCUUUUGUUGUCUUAUAAACAAUCUUACAAUUAAGAGCUAAUGUUAAUGGAAUAGAUUGUUGUCAUAGGAUAAUGGUUUCCUGCUGCUAGAUAAAUGCUGUGGCAGUGCUAGGACAUUUAUUGAAAGUAAUAGCAAAGACAAAGCUAAGAGAUUUAUUUUUAAAGCAGGUGCCAUGGAUCCAGUGACACCAUUCUGUUACAAUUGUUUUAUUUCUAUUAUACUAAAAGACUGAUGAAGAUGGCAUCGUUUUGCCUGAUGUAUGCUCACGCAGCAAAGAGACUGGCUCAUUCUGCUGUUACAGGAUAAGCUGCAUUGCACUUGGCUCAUGGAACAGAUUUAUUGUUUGGCUCAUCCAAUCAGAAAAGAGUUUAUCCAUUAACUACAGCUUUAAAAUAUGUUGUAUUUCUAUGAAUAAGACUGAGCUCAAUGCUUUCUUUUACACAAGUGGUUGGGCAGAGUUUAUCGAACAGGAGGAAAAUGAGGCCCUACAAUGCCUGUUCCCCUCCUCCAUCUAGAUGCCCCUCUUUCCUCUGUGCCACAGGGAUGGUGCGCUGGGGAGGGUGUAACUGUCCAUAGCAUAUUCCCCUCCUCCCAAAUGCUACAGAUACCCCUGUGUGAGUUCCUUCAAUAGUUCUGUGUCUCCCUCAUCGUUUUUCAUGAGAGGAUGUUGCCUCAGCAUUAGCAGAACAGAAAUGGCAGCACCGUUCUUACCAGAAUUUCUGUUCAGGGGAGGGGGGAAAGGUUUUGACUAGUUUACUAUUUCCUCUGUCCUUGAGUUGACAGAAUCUUGAAGUUUUGGAAAAUAUGCCCUCUUCCUUUUCCAUGACUUUUAAAACUGCUCAGUCCUGAACUCUCCAACAGAGAACUGUGAAAAACAAAGCUUGUAAAGUUUCCUAGGCAUUCUUGUCUCCUCUUGUGGAAUUGCAGCAAAACACCUAGAUUACCCCUGGUACCCUAUCUCCUACAUAGUUGGAGCUGAUUGUCAGGAAUUGCAUAGAAUCCAUUAAAGUCAACAAGCUCCCCUGGACAGGUACAGCCCAAUUACCUGUCUUAGGCCUCAACAUAUCAUUUGCCUUUUCUUUUGAAUUGUAGAGCACCUUCAGACACUUGCCUAUUCCAAGUGGCAGAGUUGUAGCUAUACCAGUUUAAAGAUAACCCAUGUAUAAGAAAAAUAUGAUCCCUUCCCACAAAUUCUGACCAUUCCAAAACAUGUUUAAAGUGACAUUUUAAAACAGUAUAAUGACUUUAUAUGACCAUGAGGUCCCCACUAAGAUUUCCGUAAAAAACACACUAAUUUUAUUAUUAAAGGCCAAGACCUUGGUAUCAAACCAGCAAUUCACUGUUCCAAGACUUACACUCUGUAGCAGCUCACAGCACAGCUCUGAAUUAACUUCUAAGGGCAGAACUUGAAAGCAGUAAGCAACUUUAACCUGUUCUUGACCACACACCCCCCUAAAAAAUAGGAGUUCAGUAAAUGCAUGGAUUUGAUUUUAACCCACGUGCAGACAUUCUGAAAACUAAUUAACUCUUCAGUUUUUUGAGUUUUGAAAAAAUCCUCAUACUAAUAAACAGGCAAAUGCUACAGUACUUGUGCCAAAGAACUAUCAGAUAAGGAUGGUCAUCUUACUGAGCCUAUCUAUUUAUAAGAGGUGGGCACCAAAGAGAAUAUCAUGGAGAAAAGUAGAAAUGAGAGAGACCUGUAAUCCAGACAGAAUAAAUCCUGGAACCUGCGAGGUCCAGGAGGUCCUCUGAAGAGCACAGGGGCUACUGAGCUCCAGCAGAUACAUAGUCUUCCAACGAUCUCCAUAGCAGCAGAGUAUCAGACUUGACUUCCUAAUCCUUGUGGUUUCAACUAUCAGUUUCCUAUCUGAAGUUUGGGAUUCAUAGGAAAGUUAUGGGAGACAGGGAGAAGUUCCAGACCUUUAAAACACUGAAAUUACUUAUUCAAGUACCUUUAAGAAUGUGACUGCAAGUAUUGUAAAGUCCUAUGAUUUUAUCAAAAUAUUUGGUGCAUCUAUUUAAAGUCCCAGCUCUCGAAUUGGGAUUUUUAUAGAAAUUACAGAAAUUAUUAAAUCUGUUUUGUCAAUAGGCUUGUCUAUAUCACACAGGACUGCACACAAUCAAUCAAUAUUUAGCUUCCAUAUCACAUACUGCUCCCACAGAGGGCCAGAAUUCCCCAAGUAUUCCAUAUUAAAGCCAAUCCCCAGCCUCUUGCAGCUCAUUUGACUAAGGCAGCUAUGUAUAUCCUGGCUUGAUCAGGCCCAGAUGCUUUAUUUCUAGUACAGAUGAGAUGAUUAAUUAUGUGGUUUUUUUCUGUUUGUCUGAUAGACACUGAGGUAAGAGAGUGACAGUUGCUCAGUGCACUAUUAUUAAAAAGCUGCUUUUGAUAGCCCUGAACAGGCCUGAGUUGUGUGCUACAACUAAUCAUAAAGCUGCUUACUUGAAAAUGUAAUGCUUGUUAAUGCUGUACUGUACUUUUAUAAGUAAACUCAUUUUUGAUUGGCUAGAGUUUAACUAUAAUCAGUAAUUAAGGGUCAGCCAUCCAGUAAACUCAUUAGUUUACACCAAUUACAUUUGGUACAUUUGUAACUAAUGAUUCCAAGGAUCAAGCCAUUUAUUUCUAAGCUUUCAAAGUAUAAUUAUUCUGUAAAUCAGAUAGAGUGUAAAUCUCUUCCAUACGUUUUGGUUGGUAAUUGAAAAAUAAAAUGGUUUCCAAAUGUA